AUUGAACGCUGGCGGCAUGCUUUACACAUGCAAGUCGAACGGUAACAGGCCGCAAGGUGCUGACGAGUGGCGAACGGGUGAGUAAUGCAUCGGAACGUGCCCAGUCGUGGGGGAUAACUACUCGGAAGAGUAGCUAAUACCGCAUACGAUCUAUGGAUGAAAGCGGGGGACCGUAAGGCCUCGCGCGAUUGGAGCGGCCGAUGUCAGAUUAGGUAGUUGGUGGGGUAAAGGCUCACCAAGCCAACGAUCUGUAGCUGGUCUGAGAGGACGACCAGCCACACUGGGACUGAGACACGGCCCAGACUCCUACGGGAGGCAGCAGUGGGGAAUUUUGGACAAUGGGCGCAAGCCUGAUCCAGCAAUGCCGCGUGCAGGAAGAAGGCCUUCGGGUUGUAAACUGCUUUUGUACGGAACGAAACGGCUCUGGUUAAUACCCGGGGCUAAUGACGGUACCGUAAGAAUAAGCACCGGCUAACUACGUG
rnacentral:rRNA from 1 species